AAUAAUCAUGGGUUGAAUUAAGAGGCUUUACAAGAAAUUAAACUAAAUUGCAUUGUUUGUAACUAAAGUGCAUCAUGUUUUCAAAAUCUCUUCAUACCGUUUGCUUGUUCCCUUCUUAUGUUCACUCACUGAGUUUAUACUCACUCUUUUAAACUUCAUGUUUCCAGAUUCGAAGGCAGUUGGGACCUAAAAUAAGACGUCCACUUGUAUUCACCAUUUGGUAGGUAUCUUAAUAUUCAGUAGCCAUACCUUCGUCCAAGUCACUCCCCUGGUCAUCAGGAGUUUGCUGCAUGUGUACAUAUACACUUGAUGUAAAUCUCUAAGAUUUAUGCUAUAAACAAUAUAUGUAUAAUUUGGAUUUGAUAAUGCCAUUAUUGGAUAGCAAAUGUACGACCAUAUUUUGGAUAAUAUAAAUGUAAAUUCUUGGUUGUCAUAAUAUGUUAUUACGGUACUCAUAGUGAAAAAUUACAAAUCAUGGCUUUAGGAAUGUUUGAAGAAAGUAUGAACUUGAUUACAUAGAAAGGUUUGCUUGGGCUUAGUGGGCUAUGCCCAUUGGGCCCAUGCACCAAUCAUGGUCCGAAAAUUACGCUGUGAUAAAAACCUACUUAUAAUCCAAUAGACACACUAUGUCACUUUAUAUGACAUAACCUUUGAGCUAAGAUAGCUUAUCAUUAUGUGCCAUAACUUUUGAUUUUGAAAAUACAACAACGCAUUACCUAAGUUGACACGUGGGUAAAUGAGGAAGCCCUUUUGCGGCUUCCUUUUACUUAUGUUAUAGAUUACUAUAAGUAGUUUGCAUUACACAGCUGAUUUGUAAAAUUUUUAAAAUCAUUGGUGAAAUAAAUUUAUUUGAGAAAAAUGAUAUUUUUGUGUGAGGGGUUUGUAUUACAUUUUCUCAGUAGAUAUAGAAAUCUGAUGAUAAGAUAUAGAAAAAUUGUUUAUAAGGGUAAACAAUUAAAAUAUUAACUGAUAAAUGGAAAGAAAAAAAUUAAUAACAAGAAAAAUGAUUGUGGCAUGAUAUUGAUUGAGCUAUACAUCAAAAAAUAAAAAAUGAAUGUUGCAGCAUUCUUUUUAAACUUAUAUGAUUAAAAAGAGCCAUGUUGUGGCAAAACAAAGAAACUAAGAGAGAUUUUUGCUACGUUUACAAAUAACACUAUGAAAAAAAUAUGUUACAUAGUUUUAUCAAUAAUAAAACCAAAAUAUUGGUAAAAAAGAGGUAGAUAUACAAAUGUAAAAUAUCAUGAAUUUCUAAUUGCUUUAAAGGAUGACUAUAGAUAAUAUGCAUUAAAGAAAUUCCAGAACAACUUUUAUAACGGCAAAUUUCACAUAUUUGAAAAAGACAUCAAACUCAAUUAAUAAAUGCAAAAAUUCAGUAAAGAAUAAAAGACAUAGUUGAUUCAACCUAAGAGCAAUAGAUAAACAGCCACUUUAUAAAUAGAGAAAAUGUUGAUAUCAACUUUCAUAUCAAUCCAUUCAUUUAAUAUAAUAAAUCUAAAAAGAAGUUAAAGGGUCUAUGUUUUAAGUUUCUCAGUUAUUUUAACAGUAAAAAUAAUCCUUAAUCUUUCUUUAGGUUUAAGUUAUUACUAACUUUGAUCAUGAUUUUCUUUUUGCAAAAUACAAUACUCAAAAAUAUAAAAGCAACUCAGUAACAAAAAAAUUAUUUGACCUCUGGUACUUUGGCAUCUGGAGCAAUGUCUCUACUAAGUAUUGAUUUGAUUUGCUAAACAAUUAGUUUCAAUAAGAUUUGAGAAUUUAUUAUGCAUGAAACAAAUUUUAUACCAAUAAUUAUAACAAUUAGUACAUUAAUAGUUAUAAAUUUAUUUUAUUUAACAAUGGUUGUGCUGUCAAAGAACGAUCCAAAUUUUGACUGGAAUAAAUCAUUUUUGUUGCUAAAAGAGGAAGAAGUUGACCUGAGAUCUGUGAAAGAUAAUGAAUACAGAUGAACUAUGGUAGGUCAUAGAUCUUCAGAUUUUAAAAUAGAGAAUCUUCUUGCAAGUAUGAGAUUGAUUUUUCGUGUCUUUGUUUGUCAAUCAAUUCUUCCCUUAACAAUGACAACGAUUUUUCCUUGCAGAAAAAAGAUCAUCAUUGACAGUAGAAAUCGUUAGUGAACUUAACAAAUUGUUGAAAACAAAGGUUGACGGUAAGAAUUAUUAGUAUAUUUAUGUAAGAUGUUAAUGACAAUAUAAUAUCAAAAGAAUUAUUUAUUUGUUAAAUGAUUUACUUUUGAUAGGCCAGGUUCGUCAAAUCUAUUAGAAUGAGUAGUAAUUACUUUUUUUUGUUAUGUUGGUAAAUUUUUUAGCUUUAAAUAAUUUUAUUUUAUUGUAUGUAUUUUGUUUGCAACAAACUUAUUGCUAUUAAAGAAGAAAGCAUCAUGAAAAUAAUAACAACUUGCAUAAAAAAAUAUUUAAAGAGGGUAGUAAAAGAAAAAAAACAAAACAAACGAAAGAAGGAAAGCCAAAAAUGAAAAUAAACGCAUAGAAAAUGUGUAAAAUUUCAGGGCAGUUUACAAAUAUGCUAACUGUUUGCGUUAACACCGAGUCAUAAAUAACUGCAGAUGUUGCAGAAGAGAACAAUAGAUUAAUCUCAUGUUCUUAUAAUCAUAGAUUAAGAACUUCAAUAAGCUAAACAAUCAAAGUCAAACUUCAAACUCAUUUGAAUUUAUAUUGUAUAUACAUUUCAAUAUUUUGUAUUUUAAGUAUAGACAUCUCUCUUUUGAAGAUGUUAAAAUUUAAAAAAUUAUGUUUAAGUACUUUUUUAUACCUAAACCAGGCUUAUGAAGCACAGAAGUAUGUUAGUUUUUUUUUUUAAUUAAUGAGUUUGAUUUUAAUUUCUGUGUAUAUUUAAUUAGGUUAGUUUUAGACUAUAUUAAUUAAUAUUGUAUUUAAUUUUCAAAUAUUUGGGUGUUAGGGUUAUAUUUUAUAUUUUACAUUUUAAUAAAGUUUUGGUUUAGUUGUAAAUACUUAUGUAAUCUUAGUUUCAAUGAGUUUUUGGAUGAUAAAUAUUUAAAUUUUUGAGUUAAAAUGAUGAUUAUAAAGCAAAUAUAAAUCAAGACCAAAGUCAUUAUUAAAUACCAAUACUGCUACAAAGGAAAAAUGAAACAAACGACAUAUAUUAUUAAAUAUCUUGGAUUUGUUAAAUCUUCUCUUUUUUUCUAAAGAUGAAAAAUAAGCGAGAAUUGGUAGACACAAAUGAAAUUCACACAAAAUGCCAAUAUGUGAAAAAUAGCAGCAAAUAAUUUGUAUAGUUUCAAAGACAAUUCUAUCAACCAACUAUUGAUAUGUUGACAACUAACAUAAGAUGCAGAUUGUAAAUAGGCUAUUAAUCAUUUUAGUUUUACAAUUAAGCUAAUUCUUUGUUAUUUUUAAGCUUAGGCACAAUUGAUCUAAGUGUUCAAUUGAUCAUGUUACCUGGUGCAAAGAAUAACAGGCAAUCGUGAAUGAAAUUCAAUAGUUUGUUACUAUUACCUGGUGAGCAAAAAGUCUACUAUCAAGUUGUCCUUGUGUCAAUGGAUUGGUUUGGAGGAUGCACUGCACUUUAAAGAAAGAAUUACAAUAUUGCAUAUUAAAAGUGCUUGAAUAAAAUAAAAAUCUAGACUUGCUAAACAGUCUAUCAUAAAAGGCAUGAAGUAUAUGAUGGGAAUAAUAUUAGGUAAAAAAAAUACCUAAAGAAAAAACAAAUGCUAGGAGAAAUAUGUAUGGAAUUCAAAAAUUAGGUAACUAUACAUACGUGUAAGUAUUUGAGGUCAUAAAAUGAUUUAUCUUUUGGUUGGUCAGAAAAGAUUCAUCAAACAAAAGAUACAUUACUGUAAUUUGCAUGUCUGAAAUUAAGAUUGUUGGUGUGUAAGUGUUAUUUGUGAUUCUAGGAAAGAUGAGCAAUUAUCAUUUUCAUUUACAAUGUAAAGACAGAUCAAAACUAAAAUUCAU
rnacentral:lncRNA from 1 species